rnacentral:misc_RNA from 1 species
AAGUCGUAACAAGGUUUCCGUAGGUGAACCUGCGGAAGGAUCAUUAGUGAAUUAAACAUCCGGGACGUUCGCCCUCACGGCAGCGUCUUGGUAUCACAUCCAUAACACCUGUGAACUGUAAGAUGUUGGUUUUCGAACCUCAUCUGCCCUUUUAUAAACAACGUAGUAACAAAAGUAGUAUUAUUAUAACCUAAUAAAA